rnacentral:misc_RNA from 1 species
CUGAACGCCUCUAAGUCAGAAUCCAUGCCAGAACGCGGUGAUACCACCCGCACGUAUAGACGGACAAGAAUAGGCUUCGGCUUUGUGUCUUAGCAGGCGAUUCUUCCACGGCGCUCGAAGCGCGUCGUGGUAUUUCGCGUAUUGUAAUUUCAACACGAGCGGGGUCAAAUCCUUUGCAGACGACUUAGCUGUGCGAAACGGUCCUGUAAGCAGUAGAGUAGCCUUGUUGUUACGAUCUGCUGAGGGUAAGCCGUCCUUCGCCUCGAUUUCCCCAAUGGGUUCUCCGGAUUUCUGGAGACUUGUAGGGGUUGUGGGCUUUUUUCGAGAUGUCGUCUCCGGACGGGCGGUGCAGGGUAGUCGGGUUGGACUUGGUGGAAUUCGAUUCCUUCGAGUCUGGCACGGCUGUGUGCGGCUGUGCGCUGGACGGUGCAGGGUAGGCUACUCAGUCUUGAUCGAUUCGAGGAUCGAUUCGAGGGCUGAGCGUCGACUGUGUGUGAGGGGUGGGGUCUAGGGUAGGCUGGUUUGUCUUGGUCGAGGAUGAUGUCGGCUCCCGUGUAGAUCGGAGCGAGGGUGGUGCAGGGUAGGUACAGGGUAGGCAGCUUAGACUUGCUCGACCUGGAUGUCGGUUCUCUGCCUGACGGGUCUGGGGUCGUCGAGACGGGAUGUGACGGGUGUAGGGUAAGCAACUUCUGACUGCCGGGAGGCGGUUCGAAUUGAGAUGCGCGGUCUAGGUUAGGUGCAGGGUAGGUAGAAUCCCUGUUUCGUUGCUGAUAGAUUGCUGUGGGUGUAGGUUAGGUACAGGGUAAGCAGUUUUCUCCCGCGGCCAGUACUCGCAUGUGCGUGCGAAACGGUUUUGUGGUCUGGUGGCCGUGAGUCGAUUUUUUUGUUUUGCCAUACUAUCGAAUUUUGCGGGAAUUCAAAAGUGGCCCGCGAGUCCGGUCUGGCGUGCGUCCGACUCGAAGAUCGUCGGUGGACAUAUGAGAGGGAGAAAUCCGGCCGGGCGGGGGCCCACGCCGAGGCGCAGGGUAGGUAAAAGUAAAAAAGUUGUUAAGAGGCGCGGUGUCGGUGUGCUUGUAUCUGAGGAAGAGAAUUGUCUGGAGGUAGAGGGCGGCCAGGAAAUCCGAUGUCCACCCGGGCAUGGGAGCGGGUCUCGGCCCGGAUUCUGGUGCGGUGCAGGGUAGGCAGGUCCAUAUAGAUAGUCUAGGGUAGGUACAGGGUAGGCACAGGGUAGGUAGAAGUCUGGUAUAUAGUACGGGCGGGUGUAGGGUAGGCUCAGACGCCGAUCCGUUUCGCGCCCUCACCUUUGCUCGAGAAACGACGAUCUUGGCCGGGAUGGAGGUCUAGGGUAGGCUGAAUAUACGAUCAUAUAAGCUGUACUGCUCUAGGGUAGGUGAAAAUCCCAUACGAAUCUGAUCAGAAUUGGUGAAGAAGUGGUUUUGCUCGGAAGAUGCAGAAAAGUGUAGUGCAGAACUGUAUGUGACUUUGCAAAAGUGAGCGUGAAAUUGGAAAGUCGGACUUUCCGAGCAGAUGUGAGCACGUUUGACAUGUCGUCGGAUGCGCCUCAUCGAGACGAACACAACGGUGUAGCCUAUGUGUCCGCAGGACUCCUGUGCGUCCGUCCAGGGCGGGAUAAGUAGAAAAUGAAGAGGUAUAGGGUAGGUAGUCACACCCACGACCCGUUCACCUCGUCCGUCGAUUCGUCUUUAUAUGUGGGACAGGUCUAGGGUAGGUCAAAGUCAGGUCUAGGGUAGGCGACUUCCCACCUCAAAGCUGCCUACCCGGUGGUCAGCUUCAAUCGCCUCUCACGGUCGCCACGGACCUCGCACGAAGAUGGGACCACCUCUAUCGCAUUCGCCUUGGUCGAAAUAGUCGGUAUACGCACUUUUGAAAAAAUGCGUGCAAAAUGGUUUUGUGGUUUGGUGGCCGUGAGUCGAUUUUUUUGUUUUCCCAUACAAAUGAAUUUUGCGGAAAAUAAAAAGUGGCCCACGAGGCAGUUCUGGCGUGCGGUCCACUAAAACGGUCUCGGAGGGUAUAUGAGAAGGGAGCAAAUCCGGCCGAGCCUGAAAGGGUGAGGGAAAACCGGACGAGCAACCUCUCGUACCUGAUCUUGAAGACUUCCACUGCGUGUCCCUCUGUACAGCUUUGCAGGCUCCGGCCUCGGCAGCGGGGGGUUCAUAGUGGUCGUCGACCUCCACGAAACUGCACGCUCCGGCGUGACAGCGUACUGGGGAUGCCUGUGUUUACGCAGUCCGGGCUUGCCUGGACCGCCAGCAGAUGGGCUCUGUGGAUGACUGGCCGCUGGCUAGACCUGAAACCUGAGCAACGGGAGGUAACCUCUCGCCGCGGACACCGGAAUGGUAGAAGCGGCGUGCUGCGUCCUCCUCUUGGGGCCCCUAAGCCACACCUCCCACAGCGGGUUCGGUGCGGCGGACGGACGCCCUGGGGAAUUUAGAGGGGGAAAGCGGAUUGCCCUAGCGGUGUUGUUGGCCCUGCCGACCUCACUGCGAAAGGCGCGACUUCACCGUCGCCACCCAGUAACUUGUCUCUCCGGCGCUUCACGGCGCUGGUGGCCAACCCCGGCACACGAUAGUUACCUGGUUGAUUCUGCCAGUAGUCAUAUGCUUGUCUC